ensembl:lncRNA
UAAGAAAAAGAUUGUCAAUGGAUAGAAUUUCCUCAAUUUAAAAUUUUCCUCCAUAAGUAUUUCAUAUUCCUUUGGUUUUAAUAAUACCACCAUCUCUUUACAAUAGUACACAAUAUAUCUGAUUCAAUAAAAAGUAUUGAAGUAUUUGUAUUUCAUUUUAUUCUGAAAAAAGCAACAUCAUUUUAAGGUGUUUCAUGAGCCCCAUUAAUCCAAAUCAAAGAAAAUCUUAGCAGUCCAGUUUAGAAAAACACCCUAUAUGGAACUAAGCUGUCAGCUCCCAUUCUUCCAAGAGCCUUAGUCCAGAAGCAUUUACAGUAUUCACGGGUGAUUGGUUUCAGGGCCCCUGCAGAUACUAAAAUUCUUGGAUGCUCAAGCCCCUCAGAUAAAAUGGGGUGGUUGCCUACAACCCACAUACAUCCAUCCUCCCAUAAAUUUUAAAUCAUCUCUAGAUUCCUUAUAACACCUUAUAAAAUGUAAAGGCUAAGUGAUUAGUUGCCAGUAUGCAGCAAAUUUAACUUUUACUUUUUGGAACUUCGCUUUCUGGAAUUUUUUUUCCCCAAAGAUUUUCUUUUUUUUUACUUUUCUUUUUUUUUUUUUUCAUAGCCACACCUGUGGCAUAUGGUAGUUCCUAGGUCAGGGUUGGAUUGGAGCUGCCACUGCAGGCCUAUACCACAGCCACAGGAUCUGAGACACAUCUGCAACCUACGCCACAGCUUGUGGCAACUGCAGAUCCUUAACCCACUGAGCAAGGCCAGGGAUCAAGCCUGCGUCCUCUUGGAGAUUACGUCAGGUUCCUAACCUGCUGAGCAACCAUGGGAACUCCCCCAAAGGAUUUUCUAUCUGUGGUGAAUUGAAUCCACAGAUGCAGAACCACGAAUGUGGAGGGGCUGACUGUACCUAAAAUCAUACUGACAUGAACACCAGCAUAAAACAAGGCACCUCUGAAUUUUUCCAGCACAGAAGAAUGUCUUUCCUCCGUGGCCACGGUAUGUGCAUCUUUCUACAUCUGUCUUCAAAUUCCUGGCAACACGAUCGUGCUCUGAGGAAAAUCCCCUUGGAGUGUGUGUUGAGCUUAUCCAUAUGUAUAUUUGUGGGUCUUUCUGUGUAUUUAGAAUUUGCCUUGAAACCUUAAAUAACUCGGAGUAACAGUGCCUGAGGACCUCGUUUCCUAAACCAAGGAGCAUGGCAAGCCACCUGGGUUAUGAAAGGGCACUGGAGCGUCCCUAACUCUCCUAAGUGUCUGAGGAGGUGUCCUCUGCAGGUCCCAGUCUGAGGAUGGCAGCCAACUGAGAAACAUGAGCUCUGGAUUCUGAAGCAGAGUUUUUCUUUCUUUAAAAACAACUAACACUAUAUGACGUAAGCUUAAAUUCCAUCCACUUUGGGCCUUGCUGGCAAGAAUAUAGUUCCUGAUUAAAGCAAGGCUUGGAGAAAUUUGAAAAAGUUAAUCCAAUGUGUGACCUUGGACAAAUCACUUGACCACCUCAAACUUAUUUUAUGAAUAACAAUAAUAAUUACAUUAGAUUAUUAACAUGGUGAUCUUCCCAGAACAUUGCAAUACAAUACUUUUAAAUAAAUGUAAGAAAAAUAACUCCUGAUCACCCUCUAUUUGGUGGAAGAAUUUUCGUCGCUUAUUAAAAUAGUUUCAGCAAGGCUGUUAACUGAGGGAUCCCUCUGAUGAGGGAAUUAACCUCUGUAAUCUAUAACAUCCUAGCUGGCUUGAGUGUUUACCUCUCUAGAUCUUACUAGCUCUACAUUUCUUUUUUCUUCUUUGAGUUGCUCCUUGAUUCUGGGCAUUUGACUGCCUUCCCUCUAAAGGUUGGCAUAGGAGGGAGUUCCCUGGUGGGCUACUGUUUAAGGAUUUGGCAUUGUCACUGCCGUGGCUCAGGUUCCAUUCUUGGCCCAGGGAACUCCUCUGCAUGCCACGGGUACAGGCAAAAAAGAAAUAGUUUGGCAAAGGAAAAAUAACAGCGAUUCCAGUAAAUAGAGCAAAUAUAAAUGGAAAUGAGCCAGGGUAGUUCUGUUAUGUUCAGCUGAAAAUCAUAGAUUGAUCAAAUGGCACUAUAACUUGGGAGGUGAAACGGAAUGGUAGCUAGAAUAUAGGCUCUGGAUUCAAAAGGGGGAAAUUCAUGUCUUGAAAUUACUCUGUGCUGGCCACCCGACCCUUAAAAUCACACAACCUCAAGAGACUUCAUCUAAAAACUCUAAGUGGUAAGACUCAUGAGAAUCAAAUGAUAUUACCCAGAUUGUGCGAGAGAAAGAAUUUUGAUCUAAAAUAGAACCAGAGGAUAUAAAACAGAGGCUCUCACACGUGUGCCCUCAGGAAGACAAAAUUUAGGGACCACGAGGCUGAUUUCCCACAAAGGCCUGAUUUAUGGAAAACUGAUUGUGUCAGAAUGUUCUCAGAUGCUAGGGGUGGGGCGGAUCAGAGAGCGUCUCUUAUCAAACGUGGGAUGUGUUGCUAGAGGCGUGAACUGACCACCCAGGUCAGGCGGGCCUCGCCAAGCAGCCGGAUUGAGCUUUGUUUGUGUGACUGGACGGAUUUUGUCUGCUCAGGAAGCUUUCAAGGCUGGUCUGUUUGUUUUUGAUUUUGACUGACUCUAACUCUCACUGUCCCCUCUCCACAUUCCCUGUCCCUAAAGACGGCCUACCCCAGACCCCAACAGACUCGCCCGCAGCGACUCCAGUCUGCUUGUCUUGAAUUGCAGUGCCUCUGCUAUUCCUGAGUAAAAGCUCAUUUUUUUCCAGCUUGCCUCAGUCUACCUCUCCUUGCGGUCAACCUGGGCAACGUGCUAAAUGUCACCCAUUACCAGUAAACGACACUUGUUAUAUUUCCUUAUAUCAGCAACCAAACAACUCCCCCAACGCUGAGGGUUCAUUUAGUUCAGGCAGUUUUCCAUCCAGGGCAAAUCUAGUACAGUAGGACACCCUUGGAAAGACUCUAACAGGACCAGGUCUGUUUCCAGGUCAUUUCAAGAAGGCACUGGCAACUUCAUUAUCUGCCUUGGAUGCGUUCUUUCACCCAGAGUCCCUCGCUGCUUUGCUUUUGUUCUCCCCGGUGUCUUCACCGGCCCUGCGGCUUUGAGGCCUUCCUCUCUUCCCAGUGUACAGUUCCAUGUCAUCAGCACUCCUGCUUCCUGUUUUGUCCUUGUCCAGGCUGCUUGCUUUGCACCUCUAACUCCUUCCCCUUCCUCUUCGGAGGAUGGCAACAUUUCCAGAAGGCAAGGGCAAUGCCACAAGCUUCUCUCGCUGCAGCUUUUCCUCUGCUUUCUUUUUCUUUUUUUAACCUCCUUUGAACCAUCCUAAGCUUCCUGUAAUGACUACGUCUCCGUUUCAGCUAUUUCAGUACUUCUGUGGCUUUAGAUUUUGAUCUGGAUUCGCGUCUUCUAGCUGAAACCAGCUCAAACAAGUAGUUUGAGGUUUUUGCUGGAAGGUAAUGUGAAUGUGUUUACAUGGCCACCAAAUCCCAACUGAGAUUGUCGUGAGAUUUCUGGAGUGGAGGUGUGACCUCCCCGGAUUACCUUUUUCUUAUUGUCAUGGAGCCGUGUUAUUAGCAGGGGUGGGUCGUUUUGUUUGUGACUCGACCUUGACUUCUUAUUCUUCUACACAGUCACUACUCAGAGAGGCGUAUUGGGAAAGUUUCAUUUCAGGACGGUUGACGAAGAGUUAACGAAAGGCUACCAUAGAUCCGGCUAUAGGUGUGUGAUUUGAUAUCAGUGUGAAUGAUCGUACACACACACACAAGAGCACACGCUUCCACGAAAACAUACCAGGAUUACUUUGUAGUCUUCUGGCAUCUUUCCUGCAAGGAGGACACAAACAUAAACUGAACAUGAACAAAAUAACUCAGCUGCCACGGCCACGGACAAAUAGCCCAAAAUAUUUCUCAGGCUGCUGUGAGGUGUGCAUUCAUACAUUCACCAAAGAUCCACUGAGCACCUACUAUGUUCCAGGUGCUCACAGCACAGCUAUUUGCAGAACAGACUAGAUCCCUGCCAGCCAAAACCUUGAGUUUGGGUGGGUGAACAUCUUUCAGGAUCAGCCAUCCUGCCCAUUGGAUCAAAAUCCCAUGUGAGUUAAGAAUCCAAGAGGGGAGUUCCCGUUGUGGGUUCAGUGGUUAGCGAACCCGACUAGUAUCCAUGAGGACUUGGAUUCGAUCCCUGGUCUUGCUCAGUGUGUUGGGGAUCCAGCACUGCCGUGAGCUGUGGUGUAGGUUGCAGGCUUGGCUCGGAUCCCAAGUUGCUGUGACUAUGGUGUAGGCCAGCGACUACAGCUCCAAUUUGACCCCUAGCCUGGGAACCUCUACAUGCCGAGGGUGUGGCCCUAAAAUGACAAAAAAAAAAAAAAAAAAAAAAAGGGACUCAGGGAUUGCUCACUCUCCUUCCUGCUUCUGUCACUCAGAACGCACAGCGACAUUUCAAGAGUUGGAUAUUUCAUUUCCUACUAUCCUAAAACUUUUGCUGUGUUUCUUGUUAUUCUCAUCAAGUGAGAUGGUCCUUCCCUUACCUCGCAAUAUUUCUACCCUGCACCUUGAAGACUCUUAGUAGAACUCUUCUCUUGUCUUGAUUUUCUCCAGAAGGCAAGGUAGUUCCUCUGAGGGACCUUCUCUUUCUUGCUCCGUAAUGUCACUGUUCAGACAGAGAUGUUUACUGAAAAAUGCCACCCAUUAAAAGUCACCACGGGGUUCCUGGUAUGGCCCAGUGGGUUAGUGAUCUGACUUGUUUCUGUGGAGUUGCUGGUUCGAUCUCCAGUGCGGUGCAGUGGGAUAAGGAUCUAGCAUGGGUAAUGCAGCUCAGAUUUCAUCCCUGGCCUGGGGAACUUCCAUAUACCACCGGAGCAG